ensembl:miRNA
UGUCUGGGGGUUUGGAGCAGUGGUGAGUGCAGGUCUUUGGCACCAUCUCCCCUGGUCCCUUGGCU